AUUGAACGCUGGCGGCAGGCUUAACACAUGCAAGUCGAGCGGAGAUGAGGUGCUUGCACCUUAUCUUAGCGGCGGACGGGUGAGUAAUGCUUAGGAAUCUGCCUAUUAGUGGGGGACAACAUUCCGAAAGGAAUGCUAAUACCGCAUACGGCCUACGGGAGAAAGCAGGGGAUCUUCGGACCUCGCGCUAAUAGAUGAGCCUAAGUCGGAUUAGCUAGUUGGUGGGGUAAAGGCCUACCAAGGCGACGAUCUGUAGCGGGUCUGGGAGGAUGAUCCGCCACACUGGGACUGAGACACGGCCCAGACUCCUACGGGAGGCAGCAGUGGGGAAUAUUGGACAAUGGGGGGAACCCUGAUCCAGCCAUGCCGCGUGUGUGAAGAAGGCCUUAUGGUUGUAAAGCACUUUAAGCGAGGAGGAGGCUACUGAGACUAAUACUCUUGGAUAGUGGACGUUACUCGCAGAAUAAGCACCGGCUAACUCUGUGCCAGCAGCCGCCGCGGUA
rnacentral:rRNA from 1 species